rnacentral:rRNA from 1 species
GACGAACGCUGGCGGCGCGCUUAACACAUGCAAGUCGAGCGAGAACCUGGGCUUCGGCCCUGGGGACAGCGGCGAACGGGUGAGUAACACGUGGGUAAUCUGCCCUUGACAUCGGGAUAGCCCGGGGAAACCCGGAUUAAUACCGAAUAGCCUCCGGAGCCUUCGGGCGCCGGGGAAAAGGGAGCUACGGCCCCUGGUCGAGGAUGAACCCGCGGCGGAUUAGCUUGGUGGCGGGGUAACGGCCCACCAAGGCGACGCUCCGUAGCUGGUCUGAGAGGACGAUCAGCCACACUGGGACUGAGACACGGCCCAGACUCCUACGGGAGGCAGCAGUGGGGAAUCUUCCGCAAUGGACGAAAGUCUGACGGAGCAACGCCGCGUGAGUGAUGAAGGCUUUCGGGUCGUAAAACUCUGUUGUUAGGGAAGAACAAGUACGAGAGUAACUGCUCGUACCUUGACGGUACCUAACCAGAAAGCCACGGCUAACUACGUGCCAGCAGCCGCCGUAAGAC